rnacentral:piRNA from 1 species
UCAAUGACUUUCAAAUGUUGU